AGUGCGUUUGUGAAUUAACUCUUUUCAUGCAUUCAGUCAGACAGAGGAAGUAUAAAAACUAACAUUCUCUUUCUAAGUUUUUUUCAAUGUAUAGAAUAUUUAGCAGUUAAAGUGCACAGUGGUCUCUCUUUCUCACACCUCUGAGCAUUGUUGGUGACAGUAUGAAAAAAAAACAUUUCCUGUGAUGGUUUAAGCGUGAGUCCGGAAGACUGACAACACACAUAAACACUCAAAGCAACAGUUCAACCUCUCUAUGGCCAAGGCCAGAUACUUCUUCAGUCAUCCAAUCAAAGACUACCCUUGUGCCAAGAGCAGCCAAUCAACUUCCAGGAUCUCUUCUCCAGCAGUUCCUGCAGUUUCUCAUCCACGGCCUCAUUCACAAAAUGCUGCAGGGUCCGUUCACAUGUGCCAUUUGUUCUUCAUUUAAACUAUUGUGCAACCACUUAAAAAGAAUCAGGAACUGAAAAAGCAAAAACUGUGCAAGCAGUCAAACUCAGCACUUCUUCAAAUGCCAGCUUGGACAUUCCACUAACAUUCUCCUUUUUUAAACGGUAGAAAGAAAACCAGGGGUUUGGAAUGACAUGUGGGGGAAAGUACAAAGUACACAUUUACUUGAUGGACAUAAAGUGAAUAGUCCCCGACCCUUGAAAAAAAAAUCCACAUGAGGAUUGUCACAUGCCUAACUUGCUAUUACAGGUCAUGAACUGUCACGUUAUAGGCCUACCUUUGAUAUCAACAUUUGUAGUUCACUUUAUUGAAUUGCCCCAGUGCACUUAAAUGCACCAAACUUCACACCUUCAAGAUGUCACUGAGUGUACGAUUGCAGUGUGUGUCCUGUCUUAUAGUACUUCUACUACAGCCAUUCGCUCAAAGUCCCAUAGGAGCAACUGGAUUACAAGCACCACCUAGAGGAUCGUAUUCAGAACUACGGCUCAUUAUAUCUGGCACUUGGAGAACUACAAUGAACUUCACAAUGAGCAAACAUCACUUUCCCUAGCAAUGACUCAAAAGUGUUUUAGGCUAACUUUUUAGGCUAAUAAUUUUGUAUUAACAUAACAUUUUGAGUAAGGUGUCCUUUAAUAUUAUCAUGCAAUGUGCAAAAAUAAAAAAUAGAAUGUGCUGGUAAAAGAAUACCAAGACAGUGUUGAAAACAUAUGCAGUUGACCUGAAUGUCUUAAGCAGAGUUCAAUCAAGUUAUCAUGGUUUAUCGGUUUCUUUCUGACAGCGAAUAGACAAUUUCACUUUCAUUAUCAGACAAAAAGCUCAGUCAAAGCUCAAGGUCUUGAGAUAAAACAGUCAUUAAAAAAUCUGUGUCGGUUUAUGCAAGUUUACAUCUCUGAAAUAAUUAUGCAUUAUACUGUAAAGUUGUUGCAAUGUAAGAUGCUGUUUAACCUUAACUGUGCUGGUAAAAAUAAAAAGAAUGAAUAAAUAUAAACUUAUAUGUGUAUACCGGUCUUUAAAUCAAAACAGUCAAACGUUGAGAAAUAACCAUUAUACAUUGUCAAAUUAUAAUCCAAGAUAUAUGUGUCAUGUUAUAAGAAAACCCAUUCCUGAGAACCACGAAAAAGGGGUUCAGCUCUGCCAUUCCCUGAUAAGCACAAAUUAUCACACACCCAUUUUCUUCAGAGGGUGUGUUCACGGUCCACAAUGACAUUGCACUAAUGAUGUCCUGAUGUUAUGUCCUCCGUUGAGGGGGUCCGUGUUUGGUGCGAGGUGGACUGAGUGCUGUGAGAAUUGCAGUAUUGAUAGCAGUGUCUGAAGCUUUCUUCAUUAUCAUGGUUUCCAAAAUGUCACAUCAAAUCUACAUCAGAGAUGAUUUAAAGUGACAGGUCCCAGACUCAAGACUUGGAGGCCAUUGUCUUGCACUCCCCGAAUUCACGAAAGAUAGCGGGUGCCGGUUAAGCCCGAUCCUCAACAACCACUUGUGGGUCUAUAAGUGUGGAAGGGAAUUCACAGGGUUGUUUUUUGUGCUGUAUGCUUAAGACGAACGCAUGGUAAGGUUCAUUUAGUCAGUGUGGUCAGAUCUUUUUGAGACAGAGGGGGGUAGUGCUUCAAAGCUGAAAUAUGAAUCAAGGAAUCAAAAUCAAAUAAUUCAGUCACACUUUUUGCGACUCCACACAGGUUCCAUCCAGGAUCGACUCAUCCAAUGAGAUUCAGUACGAACCAGUCAUUUCCUUAGAGCAAUGGGACGGUUAAAACCUCUGUGUGACCUUGGGAAGAUGUAUGAGACCAAAUAGGGAGGGGUGACUUGUCUGCCACGAUUGUUAUGGCUUACCUCAGGCCAGCAGUCUGUAGGCCUCUGGACACACAACAGUGGAAAAAGCAGCUGCAUACAAUUAUAAACAGCCACCAGUGAACAGGGUAUACCUUACCUCUAAAGCCAGGUGCGAUCUGUCAUGGCAGAAGGUCUCAGGGCCGACCCAGGAUCAGGCCCUUGUUUGCAUGACCAAGAACCCGAGUCAUUUGUCAAAGAGGCUUCUUUGGGUUGGACAAAGUCACUGGUUCUGUUUAGGCUGGUCUGUUCUUCCGUUUACUUGUAGGUGGGUCAACCAUGAAUAUCAUCAUUCAACUUGCGAAAGAAUACAAGAUAAGGCGAUGAGAGACCCCUUCGUCAUUAAUGCGUUGUGUAAAUAUGACAGGGAUUUUCUUUUCUCUCAAGACAGACUUGCACAUACACAAUUAAAUGGCUCCGUGUGAACACACCCCAAAGUAAAACAUUCCUCAUAGAAGACACAGAAAACUGGCUUUGUUCAUAAUAAAGUGACAUGCUUUUGAAAUAGCUCUACACAGUGCUAUCAUUAUAUGAUAUUGAUAUUCUUUCAAGGAUGAACAACAGUAGAUCAAUGGCCUUUUGUGGCAAGAUCUAUGCACCGCCUUCAUUCAAAGCUGUAACUGUGACAUGUCGUCCUAUUUCACUUGAAUUGCACCCCGCUUUCCUCUUAGGCUUCCUCAUGAGUGUGUAAGAGGAAAUGAUGAGGUGUUUACAUUGCUCUUUUCGUUCAUCAGGUACAUUCAGUUGGAAAUGAACUAUAGGUAAACAUUAAUAAUAACACUGAACGUUUAAGUUCCGCUAUCCACCCCUAUUUGAACAGUAUAGGUCAGGUGACUGAUGGUAUAAACAUUUGUGAAUGAAGGAGCGAGCUGCUGAUAUGAAGAGGCCUCCAUUCAUGCAUUCCAGCCUCUUAGGGAAACAUGAGCCAAGGGCAGAGGGAGGGAUCAGGAUCCUGCUGUACAGGCACAAGGCUAUUAUCCUGUUCACUGAAGAUCACAUGGGCGACCGCUAAAAUUAAGAACUGAGAAUGAAUGAAUGAAUGCAAAGCAAGUGAUUGAAUGACUGACUCAAUUAACAGGCACUGAAUGAAUGAAUGAAUGAACAAUCAGAAGAUGAGUGAGAGAAAGAAUGGAUGCAAUUUAAUGAAUGAGAGAGCAACCGACUACAUGAAUAGACAAACAGUCCAGAUUAACUGAGUAAUUAGUAUUUGCAUAAAUGAACAGACAUUUAGUUAGUGAGCGAGUAAAUUAAUGAAAGAACAGACAACCAAAUGAGUGUUUGGAUGAAAAAAAUAAUGAAUGUCUUUUAAUCAAUGGAUGACUGAAUGAAUGAAAAUUAAUCAAUGGAUGAAUCAAUCAGUCAAUUAAUGAAUGAGCAGACAUUUAGUGUCUGAGAUAGAGAGUAAAUGAAUGAAGGAAUGAAGUUGUGUUUAUUCAAUAGAUGGGCCAAAAAAUCCAGAUAAUCCAGAAAUCUGAUGAAUGUGUUAAUAUCUGAGGAAGCACUGACUAAAUAUAGUUUAGUUUAAUGGAUGCCAUGAAGUCCAUACAAACUGAAUCAAUGAAUGAACAUAAUCCAUUGUACGUAUGUGAAUGAAUGAGUGAGUGAAUUAAUGAAUGAAUAGACAUACACUGAGUGAAUGAGUACGCAAUUGUUGUUACACGGCUUACUGUAGGAACGAAUAAAAGAAUGAAUGAAUGAAUGAAUAAGAUGUAAGGUCUUUGUCAGAGUCACAAUUAAUAAAUGUUCAAGGCUCUUCCUGUCUAGGACUAACAAACGAGUGUGUUUAUGGCAUGAACAUCUGUCUGCAUAUGCUUGACAGCGCUGGCUUGUCCAUUGUACAGUAUGAAGGAGGUAACCCAACUCCACAGCCAGCUGUUGCUCAAUGGGUGUUCUGAAGUCAGGAGAACAUUACUCUUCACACUGGCCCCCUUCAGCCAGCACUUCUGAGGAGCAGUUUAUAAAAACCGGGGCACUGUCUCAACAAACCAGCUCAUUCCUGCACUCCUGCCUGACCUCUCCAAAUUUAACCUUUGGCCCGGAAGGCCAAUAUUAACUCUUGGCCAAUUGUGGGGGGCUCCUGACUUCCCCUGCGCAGCCCGUGAGAACAUUCCAGGAGCGGUUGCCUGGCAAGAUUGGGUGUUAGAGCGUUGACCUCCAAUAUGUCCCGGGUUACCCUUGA